rnacentral:rRNA from 1 species
UACGUAGGUGGCAAGCGUUGUCCGGAAUUAUUGGGCGUAAAGCGCGCGCAGGCGGUCCUUUAAGUCUGAUGUGAAAGCCCCGGGCUCAACCUGGGAACGGCGCGCGAAACGGGAGGGCUGGAGUUCGGGAGAGGAGAGUGGAAUUCCCAGUGUAGAGGUGAAAUUCGUAGAUAUUGGGAAGAACACCGGUGGCGAAGGCGGCUCUCUGGACCGAGACUGACGCUGAGGCACGAAGGUCAGGGGAGCAAACGGG